rnacentral:rRNA from 1 species
ACGCACGCUGGCGGCGUGCUUAACACAUGCCAGUCGCACGGAAAGGCCCUGCUUUUGUGGGGUGCUCGAGUGGCGAACGGGUGAGUAACACGUGAGUAACCUGCCCUUGACUUUGGGAUAACUUCAGGAAACUGGGGCUAAUACCGGAUAGGAGCUCCUGCUGCAUGGUGGGGGUUGGAAAGUUUCGGCGGUUGGGGAUGGACUCGCGGCUUAUCAGCUUGUUGGUGGGGUAGUGGCCUACCAAGGCUUUGACGGGUAGCCGGCCUGAGAGGGUGACCGGCCACAUUGGGACUGAGAUACGGCCCAGACUCCUACGGGAGGCAGCAGUGGGGAAUAUUGCACAAUGGGCGGAAGCCUGAUGCAGCAACGCCGCGUGCGGGAUGACGGCCUUCGGGUUGUAAACCGCUUUCGCCUGUGACGAAGCGUGAGUGACGGUAAUGGGUAAAGAAGCACCGGCUAACUACGUG